rnacentral:rRNA from 1 species
UACGUAGGGUGCGAGCGUUGUCCGGAAUUACUGGGCGUAAAGAGCUCGUAGGUGGUUUGUCGCGUUGUUCGUGAAAACUCACAGCUUAACUGUGGGCGUGCGGGCGAUACGGGCAGACUGGAGUACUGCAGGGGAGACUGGAAUUCCUGGUGUAGCGGUGAAAUGCGUAGAUAUCAGGAGGAACACCCGUAGCGAAGGCGGCACUCUGGGCCGGUACUGACGCUGAGGAGCGAAAGCGUGGGGAGCAAACAGG